rnacentral:rRNA from 1 species
ACCCAAUAGAUACCCGGGUAGUCCUGGCCGUAAAACGAUGUCGACUAGAUCGCAGUUCCUUCAACGGAAAUUGCGGUCGAAAGCAAAAAAAGUGCUAAGUCGACCGCCUGGGAAGUACGGUCGCAAGGCUAAAACUCAAAGAAAUUGACGGGGGCUCACACAAGCGGUGGAGCAUGUGGUUCAAUUCGAAGCAACGCGCAGAACCUUACCUGGGCUUGACAUGCUAGGAUUAUCCCUAUGAAAGUAGGGUAGGCCCUUGGGGUACAACUAGUACAGGUGCUGCAUGGCUGUCGUCAGCUCGUGUCGUGAGAUGUCGGGUUAAGUCCCUUAACGAGCGUAAACCUUUGCCCUUAGUUACUAACGGGUUAUGCCGAGGACUCUAAGGGGACUGCCGGUGUCAAACCGGAGGAAGGUGGAGAUGACGUCAAGUCCUCAUGGCCUUUAUGCCCGAGGGCCACACACGUGCUACAAUGGGGUGCACAGAGCGAACCGAGAGCGCAAGCUGGAGGAAAUCGCAUAAAUCACCCCCAGUUCAGAUUGGAGGCUGCAAC